rnacentral:tRNA from 1 species
GUCUUUUGUUGACUUUUGGUUUAAUCGCCCUCCUAAGGGGCAGGUCGGACGUUCGAAUCGUCUCCGGGACGCCA